UCAGAACACACCUGCGACUGCUAAGAUGGCAAGUGAACUCAGGUUGCUGGCUGCUUCUUCUGAAAUCAGUCCUGCAGAAAAUACAAAGUAAGAGGUUUGCUUUGGAACAGUUGUUGCCUUUGGCUUCACAGUAAAACUCAUGGCAACAUCCUAGACCGCUGUGGAUGGUAUCUUCAGAGGCUGUUUUAAGGAGCUGCAAUAUGUUGCUUCUAACAACUGCAUAAUACUCAAUUAUUUUAUCUGCUGCAUCCUACUAUAUACUUUACCAAUGCUGUA
rnacentral:lncRNA from 1 species